rnacentral:lncRNA from 1 species
UGCAUUAACAGUUCUCGGAGCACGUGCAGGCCCUUCUGAUGGUUUAAAGUAAAUAGUGACAGUUGAUACCUCUCCACGGUCUUUCACAACCCGACCAAACUGUAGGCAACCUUCAUCCAUCAGACCCUAGAUACCUCUUCUCAACUUCUCACAACCAUUCUCUUGAUCAACACAAUCUGAACAGCCUUCAUCACAGCCCGGGAGCACUCCCCCUUUCAACAGA